rnacentral:rRNA from 1 species
GACGAACGCUGGCGGCGUGCUUAACACAUGCAAGUCGAGCGGUAAGGCCCUUUCGGGGGUACACGAGCGGCGAACGGGUGAGUAACACGUGGGUGACCUGCCUUUGGAUGGGGAAUAACAACCGGAAACGGUUGCUAAUACCGCAUAAUGCAGCGGCACCUAAUGGUGACAGUUGUUAAAGCGGGGGAUCGAAAGACCUCGCGUCUGAAGAGGAGCCUGCGGCGGAUUAGCUAGUUGGUAAGGUAACGGCUACCAAGGCGACGAUCCGUAGCCGGCCUGAGAGGGCGGUCGGCCACACUGACACUGACAUACGGGUCAGACUCCUACGGGAGGCAGCAGUCGGGAAUUUGGGCAAUGGGCGAAAGCCUGACCCAGCAACGCCGCGUGAAGGAUGAAAU